rnacentral:misc_RNA from 1 species
AGCAGCAGCAGCAACAGCAACAGCAACAGUAUCAAAAACAACAUAAAUCACAGCCACAGGGAGCGUCCGAAGAGGUCAAGACUAUAUGGAUCGGUGACUUGCUUCAUUGGAUGGAUGAAACUUAUCUACAUAAUUGCUUCUCUCAUACAGGCGAGGUUUCCUCUGUUAAAGUGAUACGCAAUAAGCAGACUGGUCAGCCAGAAGGGUAUGGAUUUGUUGAGUUUUAUUCACAUGCAACAGCUGAGAAAGUUUUGCAGAGCUAUAAUGGCUCUGUGAUGCCAAACACAGAUCAGCCCUUCCGCCUUAAUUGGGCAAGCUUUGCAGGUGACAGGCGAUUGGACGCUGGUUCUGACCUAUCUAUAUUUGUUGGCGAUUUGGCUGCAGAUGUGACUGAUGCUAUGUUGCAGGAAACCUUUGCCAGUAAAUAUCCAUCUGUCAAGGGAGCCAAAGUUGUAACUGAUCCAAACACUGGCUGUUCAAAAGGUUAUGGUUUUGUUAGGUUUGGUGAUGAAAAUGAGAGGUCAAGGGCCAUGGUAGAGAUGAAUGGAAUUUAUUGCUCAAGUAGGCCCAUGCGCAUAGGUGUUGCAACUCCCAAAAAGUCAUCUGGAUAUCAACAGUAUUCUUCACAAGCUUUGGUGUUGGCUGGUGGACAUGCUCCAAAUGGUGCUAUGGCCCAGGGAUCCCAAUCUGAUGGAGACUCUAAUAAUACAACUAUAUUUGUGGGAGGAAUUGACUCUGACAUCAGUGAUGAGGAUCUGAGGCAGCCUUUUUCCCAGUUUGGUGAGGUUGUGUCUGUGAAGAUACCUGUUGGGAAGGGAUGUGGUUUUGUGCAAUUUGCUAACAGAAAGAGUGCUGAGGAUGCGCUGCAGAGUUUGAAUGGCACAACAAUUGGAAAGCAGACAGUUCGCCUCUCUUGGGGUCGCAGUCCAGCACACAAGCAGUGGAGAGGGGAUCAUAAAUAUAAUCAGUGGAAUGGUGCAUAUUUUGGAGAGCAAGGGUAUGGUGGAUAUGGAUAUGCAAUGGCACCAAAGCAGGAUCAGAACAUGUAUGUUGCAGCUGCAGCUUCAGGCGCAUCUUAACUGCAGCACAA